rnacentral:rRNA from 1 species
UAAUGAUCAGGCGUAAAGCGUCUGUAGGUGGUUUUUUUAGGUCCGCCUUUCAAAUCCAAGGGCUCAACUCUGGACAGCAAUGGAAACUACCAAGUUGGAGUACGAUAGGGGCAGAGGGAAUUUCCGGUGGAUCUGUGAAAUACGUAGAGAUCGGAAACAACACCAACGACGAAAACACUCUGUUGGGCCGACCGACACUGACAUUUGAGAGCCGAA